GCCUCAUCUCUUUUCCAAGAUGAGACUUUGGUCUCUCCUAAAUUCUUGUCUUUCCAGUAAUUUUCUCUAGUUCAUUAUGCAUGUACCUAGUGCGGGAUUUGGGGAGAGAGAUGGCUGAGAGAAAUCGCCCUGCUUAACUGUAUGAGAAGCUGGCCUUUACCUACAAGGAGAAGAAUUCAGAGGCACUAGUACAACUGAUGAAACAGACCAUGAUGUAUGCAGAGAACCAUCUGUGGAAAAACAUCUCCAAAAGCCAGGCAGAGAGUGUGCAGGUAUUGUCAGUCAGACGUGGAUCAGACAAAAAGGACCAGCUAAUACUCAACAGCCCAAAUCUUAAAUCCUCGUGCUUUUCACCCCCAUUUCUUUGCAGACAAAAUGCAAUCCUACAGGCUUUGGACUGG